rnacentral:rRNA from 1 species
GUGGGGAAUAUUGGACAAUGGGCGAAAGCCUGAUCCAGCCAUGCCGCGUGUGUGAAGAAGGUCUUCGGAUUGUAAAGCACUUUAAGUUGGGAGGAAGGGCAGUAAGUUAAUACCUUGCUGUUUUGAUGUUACCGACAGAAUAAGCACCGGCUAACUCUGUGCCAGCAGCCGCGGUAAUACGAAGGGUGCAAGCGUUAAUCGGAAUUACUGGGCGUAAAGCGCGCGUAGGUGGUUUUGUAAGUUGGAGGUGAAAUCCCCGGGCUCAACCUGGGAACUGCCUCCAAAACUGCAUGACUAGAGUACGGUAGAGGGUAGUGGAAUUUCCUGUGUAGCGGUGAAAUGCGUAGAUAUAGGAAGGAACACCAGUGGCGAAGGCGACUACCUGGACUGAUACUGACACUGAGGUGCGAAAGCGUGGGGAGCAAACAGGAUUAGAUACCCGGGUAGUCC